AUCCUUUUGUAAGUCAUAAGUGUGAUUGGGUUUUCAUGCUCUUGUGUCAAAUGUGUCUCCCUCAAACCUUGUUACGAAGUGGGCACACCACCCGCCUGACA
ensembl:snoRNA